rnacentral:rRNA from 1 species
UACAGAGGGGGCGAGCGUUGUUCGGAAUUACUGGGCGUAAAGCGCGUGUAGGCGGCUCUGCAAGUCAGGUGUGAAAUCCCACGGCUCAACCAUGGAAGUGCACUUGAAACUGCAGGGCUAGAGUCCUGGAGAGGAAGGUGGAAUGCUUGGUGUAGAGGUGAAAUUCGUAGAUAUCAAGCGGAACACCGGUGGCGAAGGCGGCCUUCUGGACAGUGACUGACGCUGAGACGCGAAAGCGUGGGGAGCAAACAGG